rnacentral:lncRNA from 1 species
GGAUGUAAAAACCAUUUCAUACGGUUAAUAAAAUACAACUUCUGAUUACCCUAUUGUUUUCCUGGGUAAAACAUGAUUUCUGUAUCUUCUCUUUUUGUUUCAGAAAACAACAAAAUCACGUUGAGAAACAUAGUAGUAGCUGUAAAAUAUAAGAUCAAUCAUGGUGUUUACCGGCAAGGCGACCUCGAUUGUCUAGACUAUCUUGAGCUGGAUUGUUGGGUCUUGGGCUUGGUGGUGUCGACGGAUUCCUCUUUGAAGUUUCUGAAGGAGAAGUAGACACACUAAGGUUCUCAAAAUUAGAUAAACCUCUGGAAGCGUCAACCAUGGGAAUAUUACUUGAGAAAAUUGCAAGUCCCUGGAAUAUCAACAUGAGAGUAACAAAAUAUGAGAUGGUCGCCAUUUGAAGUCAUUGAAUUCCUGAUUCAUCCAUAUAUUUAUGUAAGAUUGUGACCCAAAUUUUGGUUAAGAAAUCAAAGUCAAGAUCAAGGUCGCCUCCCCCAACGCGUAAAAUUACAAAGUCGAG